AUUGAACGCUGGCGGCAUGCCUUACACAUGCAAGUCGAACGGUAACGGGCCUUCGGGUGCCGACGAGUGGCGAACGGGUGAGUAAUACAUCGGAACGUGCCCGAUCGUGGGGGAUAACGAGGCGAAAGCUUUGCUAAUACCGCAUACGAUCCACGGAUGAAAGCAGGGGACCGCAAGGCCUUGCGCGGCCUGAGCGGCCGAUGGCAGAUUAGGUAGUUGGUGGGAUAAAAGCUUACCAAGCCGACGAUCUGUAGCUGGUCUGAGAGGAUGAUCCGCCACACUGGGACUGAGACACGGCCCAGACUCCUACGGGAGGCAGCAGUGGGGAAUUUUGGACAAUGGGCGCAAGCCUGAUCCAGCCAUGCCGCGUGCAGGAUGAAGGCCUUCGGGUUGUAAACUGCUUUUGUACGGAACGAAAAGCCUUCUUUUAAUACAGGGGGGUCAUGACGGUACCGUAAGAAUAAGCACCGGCUAACUACGUG
rnacentral:rRNA from 1 species